CUGGGGGACAAGAGCAAGACUUCGUCUCAAAAAAAAAAAAAAAAAAAAAAAAAAAAAAGAAAAGAAAAGAAAAAUGGGAUGCAGUAACAUUCACCCAAACACUACUGUCCCAAGGGGAAGUGCGCAAGGCUCGGUGUCCUAUGGCUGCACGGCACAGAGUCCAACUCAAACAAGAAAUAGGGAGCCCAGCUUUUUCUCACGCAGCAAAUGGCAAUCACAUUCUUUGUGCCUAUGCAGUGAUGUGAGUCCACGAAUAAAAGCCUCUGCAUUCUCAAUCGAAAUAAGAAGUACCCUUACUGAAGCUACUGUCCAGAGAGUCACUGGAGGAGACACUGCAUCCCAGGAGCCCCAGGAUUGGGCAGUACAUGGCUCACUAAUAUAUGGGACUGAUUUUCUGCAAUGCGGGUCCAUGGAGAAUCGCAGAGGGUGAACUGACUGACAGACAAAGAAGGGCAACAAUGCUAGAAAACCUUCAGCCUUUCCUUUCUAUGAAAACCAAGGUUUUCUCCAAGCAGGUUGGGGUUCUGACACUACUCAACUGUCCUUACCUUGUGACUACAGGAUUAAGCCUUCCUGUGAAAUUUCAAAUCAGGUCUUAAGAGCAGUGUAGUAUUUACAGAUUUGAACUUCCAUUAAAAAAAAAAAAAAAUUGAACCAAGAAGUAUGGAUUGCAAGCUUGUUUCUGACAGCUGUGGUGACUGCAACACUGGGAUUUUGUGGGCCUGGGAUGGCAUUUGCCAGCAGUAGGAAUCAGCAAAAAUAAUAUAAUAACUAUACAGCAGAUAAAUGGCAUGGGAUAAUGACACCAAAUGCUUAGUCACAAGAAGCACUUUCAGAGAACAAGCCAGAGUAAAUCGACAUUUAAAGCUGAGGUCUGACUGAACUGAGGGGCACAAACUGCAGGUCUUAAGGUUUUCACUAAACCUAACGAAGAGGAGCAUGAGAAGGCCUUCUGAGAGCAUCUGGCCUGGGCUCAGUGGCAAGAUACGAACUGCCGAUGAGUAGCUCAUGUGUACAGCCAGGUAAACUAAACCAACCUGAUGAAGGCUGGUGAUGAAGGAGAGGCGGAGAGGUGGGAUGGAAAGUUAUAUCAACAAGAAUCCUGCAGGGUUUGUUCUUAUUUAUUCUCCACAUUCAUUCACUGUAACAAAUUUCAGCCAAUAGCUCCUGCUACCUUUUAACUGAGGGGAAGAAGUGGCUAAAUUAAAAACUAUUUUUUAAUUCUGAGGGGAAAACAAACCCAGAAUCCUCCCAAGAAGCUCAUCUUUUCUUUCUCUUGGGCCUUAGGGACACAAGUUUCUAACUUAUUAACAAGUCUAAUAAAGGUGAGUCAUGAGUGUUAAAUCAAAGAGGUGCGAUGGUAUUUUCCAUUCUCCAUGAUCUCAGCUAUCCCCGUCCUCCUGGGGACCACUGAGAGCUGGCACGCUGACAAGGUGACAGUGAUCCACAGGGUGAAAUGUCCUUCUAGCUUGAAAGCAAACCUUUUCAGGACACCUUACACACUACUUCCUAAUUAUAACAUAUCACAUACCCAUCAUUUUCCUAAUGGAGAAGACGGCAAAUGCAUUUGCAUCUGCUUUAAGACAUUGCAUCUGCUUAAGACACUUGGAAAGAGAAGUGCUCGAGGAGGAAGAAAAGGUGAGAAAAAGAUCCUGCUUGGGGAUGGGUGGACUAGGGGUUCACAGCAGCUCACAGUCCUGUGGAUUCCUGCAACCUUGCAGCUCCAGACAGCUUAUAGCAGAUCUGCACUUCAAAGACCAGUGAAAGCUCAGGACACUCCCUGGACAAUGCACGAAGCACUAGUACCUAUAAGGCAUGGACACAUUCCCACACAGGAUGCAGGAAGGCUGACAAUUCUGCUGCUGCUGUUGCUCUUGUUCACAGUGUUAUAAUAUAGUAGUUCUAUUUCCUAUUGCUCUUCCUUAAUAUUUUCUGUCUAAAACCAAGAAGGGAGAUUAAGGAUAAAGGGAUUUACUGACUUUUCCUGUAUUGUUCACAGCAUCUCUAGCAUCGCUCUAGCAACAGCUGAUUGGGGCAGUCACUCCCACCCAGGCCCCUGGGGUAGUCAUAGGGAGAGGCCCACGGUGACAGUGCUCUUGUUAAGGAGAAGUGAGAGGGCUCUGAUUCAAACCAGCAUUACCAGGAAAAGAGACAGGCUGUCAGUGGCCAAAUUCUCUGCACCUAGACCAGGUCUAACCAGCUCCAAACUAGCUUUUUUCCUCUUCCCUGCUUCUGCACAAACACAGAAACUGAAGUAGUAAUGCCCCAUGUUAGCGGACACUAGCUAAAGGGCGGACCCAUCCACAAUCCUUCUGUCCUCUUCACUCUUCUAAACCCGGUUAUGCCAGUGACAGGUUCCUAACAAGAAUCAGGAUCAGGUGAGAGCACAGGAUCAAAACUGAAUCCACUUGCAAACACAUCAAAUUUAAAAUCAAAGCCUCUGUGAGAGAAAAUCUGCAUUUUUGUGCAUUAUACCUUAGAGGCACCUGUGUUCCCUACUCAACUCUCAAAUCUGCCUGAGCCCUAGGCAGCACCACCAGGUUCAGCGUUUGCGUACGGAUAUGACCUUCCAUCAUCCUGGAACUGGUGUCUUGGCUUUCAUUUCUCUCUAUCACGGAUGCUUCUGAUUAGCUUCCUUUUCCACGGACGGCGUAUGUUUAGCAAACUGUAAACGUGACAGUUCCAUGCUUCACUAGGAAUCCUGGAAUUGGCGGGAAACACUCUACCGGCCCCUCCCACAGUUGAAUUUAUAAGAAACUAGGGCAGAUUAAUAUUUCAUAGAGGCUCUUCUACUAUCCCAAAAGCAUGCUUGAAAAUAUGCUAUUCUUUACAAAGACCUGUAAUUUCAGUAUUUUCCUUAGUUUUUUCUUUUGUGGGAUAUUCAAAAGUUUAAAACAUGGGUCCUAACUUUGGUGACCUUUCAGCUAAAAUCAAAUACAGAAUGCUAAUGAGGGAGAAUCCAGUGUAAUUCAACUCUACAACUGUAAUAAAGUAAUUUAAUACUGUAAAAUGGUUUCCUAUCACAGACACAACAAAUAAUU